GGCGAACGCUGGCGGCGUGCCUAAUACAUGCAAGUCGAGCGGACGAAUCGAAAGCUUGCUUUUGAUUCGUUAGCGGCGGACGGGUGAGUAACACGUGGGCAACCUGCCCUGUAGACGGGGAUAACACCGAGAAAUCGGUGCUAAUACCGGAUAACACGAAAUGUCGCAUGACGUUUCGUUGAAAGACGGCGCAAGCUGCCGCUACAGGAUGGGCCCGCGGCGCAUUAGCUAGUUGGUGAGGUAACGGCUCACCAAGGCGACGAUACGUAGCCGACCUGAGAGGGUGAUCGGCCACACUGGGACUGAGACACGGCCCAGACUCCUACGGGAGGCAGCAGUAGGGAAUCUUCCGCAAUGGACGAAAGUCUGACGGAGCAACGCCGCGUGAGCGAAGAAGGCCUUCGGGUCGUAAAGCUCUGUUGUUAGGGAAGAACAAGUAACGCAGUAACUGGCGUUACCGUGACGGUACCUAACGAGAAAGCCACGGCUAACUACGUG
rnacentral:rRNA from 1 species